AGUGAACGCUGGCGGUAGGCCUAACACAUGCAAGUCGAACGGCAGCACAGGAGAGCUUGCUCUCUGGGUGGCGAGUGGCGGACGGGUGAGGAAUACAUCGGAAUCUACCUUUUCGUGGGGGAUAACGUAGGGAAACUUACGCUAAUACCGCAUACGACCUACGGGUGAAAGUGGGGGACCGCAAGGCCUCACGCGAUUAGAGGAGCCGAUGUCCGAUUAGCUAGUUGGCGGGGUAAUGGCCCACCAAGGCGACGAUCGGUAGCUGGUCUGAGAGGAUGAUCAGCCACACUGGAACUGAGACACGGUCCAGACUCCUACGGGAGGCAGCAGUGGGGAAUAUUGGACAAUGGGCGCAAGCCUGAUCCAGCCAUACCGCGUGGGUGAAGAAGGCCUUCGGGUUGUAAAGCCCUUUUGUUGGGAAAGAAAUCCUGUCGAUUAAUACUCGGUGGGGAUGACGGUACCCAAAGAAUAAGCACCGGCUAACUUCGUGCCAGCAGCCGCAGUAAUAC
rnacentral:rRNA from 1 species